GAUGAACGCUGGCGGCGUGCCUAAUACAUGCAAGUCGAGCGAACGGACGAGAAGCUUGCUUCUCUGAUGUUAGCGGCGGACGGGUGAGUAACACGUGGAUAACCUACCUAUAAGACUGGGAUAACUUCGGGAAACCGUAGCUAAUACCGGAUAAUAUUUUGCACCGCAUGGUUCAAAAGUGAAAGACGGUCUUGCUGUCACUUAUAGAUGGAUCCGCGCUGCAUUAGCUAGUUGGUAAGGUAACGGCUUACCAAGGCAACGAUGCAUAGCCGACCUGAGAGGGUGAUCGGCCACACUGGAACUGAGACACGGUCCAGACUCCUACGGGAGGCAGCAGUAGGGAAUCUUCCGCAAUGGGCGAAAGCCUGACGGAGCAACGCCGCGUGAGUGAUGAAGGUCUUCGGAUCGUAAAACUCUGUUAUUAGGGAAGAACAUAUGUGUAAGUAACCGUGCACAUCUUGACGGUACCUAAUCAGAAAGCCACGGCUAACUACGUG
rnacentral:rRNA from 1 species